rnacentral:rRNA from 1 species
UACGUAGGGGGCGAGCGUUGUCCGGAAUUAUUGGGCGUAAAGAGCGUGUAGGCGGCCAAGUAAGUCCGGUGUGAAAACUCGAGGCUUAACCUCGAGAUGUCAUCGGAAACUAUUUGGCUAGAGUCCGGAAGAGGAGAGUGGAAUUCCUGGUGUAGCGGUGAAAUGCGCAGAUAUCAGGAAGAACACCUAUGGCGAAAGCAGCUCUCUGGGACGGUACUGACGCUGAGACGCGAAAGCGUGGGGAGCGAACAGG